rnacentral:rRNA from 1 species
AUUGAACGCUGGCGGCAUGCCUUACACAUGCAAGUCGAACGGCAGCACGGGAGCAAUCCUGGUGGCGAGUGGCGAACGGGUGAGUAAUGUAUCGGAACGUACCUUUCAGUGGGGAUAACGUAGCGAAAGUUACGCUAAUACCGCAUAUUCUGUGAGCAGGAAAGCAGGGGAUCGCAAGACCUUGCGCUGAUUGAGCGGCCGAUAUCAGAUUAGCUAGUUGGUGAGGUAAAGGCUCACCAAGGCGACGAUCUGUAGCGGGUCUGAGAGGAUGAUCCGCCACACUGGAACUGAGACACGGUCCAGACUCCUACGGGAGGCAGCAGUGGGGAAUUUUGGACAAUGGGCGCAAGCCUGAUCCAGCCAUGCCGCGUGAGUGAAGAAGGCCUCGGUUGUAAG